rnacentral:rRNA from 1 species
AGAGUUUGAUCAUGGCUCAGGAUGAACGCUGGCGGCGUGCUUAACACAUGCAAGUCGAACGGUGAAGCAGAGCUUGCUCUGUGGAUCAGUGGCGAACGGGUGAGUAACACGUGAGCAACCUGCCCCGGACUCUGGGAUAAGCGCUGGAAACGGUGUCUAAUACCGGAUACGAGACAAGACGGCAUCGUCAUUGUCUGGAAAGAUUUUUUGGUCUGGGAUGGGCUCGCGGCCUAUCAGCUUGUUGGUGAGGUAAUGGCUCACCAAGGCGUCGACGGGUAGCCGGCCUGAGAGGGUGACCGGCCACACUGGGACUGAGACACGGCCCAGACUCCUACGGGAGGCAGCAGUGGGGAAUAUUGCACAAUGGGCGAAAGCCUGAUGCAGCAACGCCGCGUGAGGGAUGACGGCCUUCGGGUUGUAAACCUCUUUUAGCAGGGAAGAAGCGAGAGUGACGGUACCUGCAGAAAAAGCGCCGGCUAACUACGUGCCAGCAGCCGCGGUAAUACGUAGGGCGCAAGCGUUAUCCGGAAUUAUUGGGCGUAAAGAGCUCGUAGGCGGUUUGUCGCGUCUGCUGUGAAAUCCCGAGGCUCAACCUCGGGCCUGCAGUGGGUACGGGCAGACUAGAGUGCGGUAGGGGAGAUUGGAAUUCCUGGUGUAGCGGUGGAAUGCGCAGAUAUCAGGAGGAACACCGAUGGCGAAAGCAGAUCUCUGGGCCGUAACUGACGCUGAGGAGCGAAAGGGUGGGGAGCAAACAGGCUUAGAUACCCUGGUAGUCCACCCCGUAAACGUUGGGAACUAGUUGUGGGGUCCAUUCCACGGAUUCCGUGACGCAGCUAACGCAUUAAGUUCCCCGCCUGGGGAGUACGGCCGCAAGGCUUAAACUCAAAGGAAUUGACGGGACCCGCACAAGCGGCGGAGCAUGCG